GUCUACGUAGCUCAGUCGGAUAGAGCAUACGCCUUCUAAGCGUACGGUCAGGGGUUCGAAUCCCUUCGUGGACGCCA
rnacentral:tRNA from 1 species